rnacentral:rRNA from 1 species
UACGUAGGGGGCGAGCGUUGUCCGGAUUUAUUGGGCGUAAAGAGCUCGUGGGCGGUUCGAUAAGUCGGACGUGAAAUCUCCACGCUCAACGUGGAGGGGCCGUUCGAUACUGUCGUGACUCGAGUCCGGUAGGGGAGUGUGGAAUUCCCGGUGUAGCGGUGAAAUGCGCAGAGAUCGGGAGGAACACCCGUAGCGAAGGCGGCACUCUGGGCCGGUACUGACGCUGAGGAGCGAAAGCGUGGGGAGCAAACAGG